GGCAGCCAAUGUGAGAAAAUGUCUUGCACACAAGCCAAAAGUAUAAAGGUAAAUGGGUGAAAUGCUUAAGAAAAUCAACUCGACGAGCAGCCAGAACAGGAA
rfam:Drosophila busckii chromosome 3R sequence.